rnacentral:sRNA from 1 species
AGGAGAAAUAUAGUGAACGUGAGUAUCGAUUCCGCCAGCAGUUACAAUUAAACCAUCUGCAUUAAUUGCUUCUGUACUUGCGCCGAUAACAAAAUCGACCUUAUCCAUGUUGUCUGGGUUUCCGCCUUUGCCAAUUGCUAAAAUUUUGCCAUCACGAAUUCCAAUAUCUGCUUUGUAGAUUCCGUUAUAAUCAAUAAUCAAAGCAUUUGUAAUUACAAAAUCAACUACUCUAGGAUCUUCAUCGCGCCGAGCUGUUGCACUGACUCCCAUGCCGUCACG